UACGUGGGGGGCGAGCGUUGUCCGGAUUUAUUGGGCGUAAAGAGCGUGUAGGCGGCCAGGUAGGUCUGCUGUGAAAUCUCGGGGCUCAACCCCGAGCGGUCGUGAGAAACUGGCAGGCUAGAGUGCGGGAGAGGAGAGUGGAAUUCCUGGUGUAGCGGUGAAAUGCGCAGAUAUCAGGAAGAACACCCGUGGCGAAGGCGGCUCUCUAGAACGCAACUGACGCUGAGACGCGAAAGCGUGGGGAGCAAACAGG
rnacentral:rRNA from 1 species